CCUACGGGUGGCAGCAGUGGGGAAUAUUGCACAAUGGGGGGAACCCUGAUGCAGCGACGCCGCGUGGGUGAAGGAGCACCUCGGUGCGUAAAGCCCUAUCGGCAGGGAAGAAAGGCGGGCGGGGCCCGUCUGGACGGUACCUGACUAAGAAGCCCCGGCUAACUACGUGCCAGCAGCCGCGGUAAUACGUAGGGGGCAAGCGUUAUCCGGAUUCACUGGGUGGAAAGGGAGCGUAGACGGCGACGCAAGUCUGGAGUGAAAGCCCGGGGCCCAACCCCGGGACUGCUCUGGAAACUGCGGCGCUGGAGUACGGGAGGGGCAGGCGGAAGUCCUGGUGUAGCGGUGAAAUGCGUAGAUAUCAGGAGGAACACCGGCGGCGAAGGCGGCCUGCUGGACCGUGACUGACGUUGAGGCUCGAGAGCGUGGGGAGCAAACAGGAUUAGAUACCCCUGUAGUC
rnacentral:rRNA from 1 species